UACAGAGGGUGCGAGCGUUAAUCGGAAUUACUGGGCGUAAAGCGUGCGUAGGCGGCCGCGUAUGUCCGGUGUGAAAGCCCACCUCUUAAAGGUGGAAUUGCAUCGGAAACUACGUGGCUAGAGUGUCGGAGAGGAUGGUGGAAUUCCUGGUGUAGAGGUGAAAUUCGUAGAUAUCAGGAGGAACACCGGUGGCGAAGGCGGUUCUCUGGGCCUGUACUGACGCUGAGGAGCGAAAGCGUGGGGAGCGAACAGG
rnacentral:rRNA from 1 species